CCUACGGGAGGCUGCAGUGGGGAAUAUUGCGCAAUGGGCGAAACCCUGAUGCAGCGACGCCGCGUGAGUGAAGAAGUAUUUCGGUAUGUAAAGCUCUAUCAGCAGGGAAGAGAAUGACGGUACCUGAGUAAGAAGCCCCGGCUAACUACGUGCCAGCAGCCGCGGUAAUUCGUAGGGGGCAAGCGUUAUCCGGAUUUACUGGGUGUAAAGGGAGCGUAGACGGCGAAGAAAGUCUGAAGUGAAAGCCCGGGGCUCAACCGCGGAACUGCUUUGGAAAAUUUUUUGCUGGAGUACCGGAGAGGUAAGCGGAAUUCCUGGUGUAGCGGUGAAAUGCGUAGAUAUUAGGAGGAACACCAGUGGCGAAGGCGGCUUACUGGACGGUAACUGACGUUGAGGCUCGAAAGCGUGGGGAGCAAACAGGAUUAGAUACCCCAGUAGUC
rnacentral:rRNA from 1 species